GCUGGACCCAAUGAUCUUCUGAGAUCCCUUCCGGACUUACAAUCUAUGAAUCUAAGAAAAGGUGAAAGUGAAAAAAGGAAAUCUAAUAAAAUGUGCCGGUGGUCUGCAGUUUGCCGGGCCGGCUGCUUCUGGUCCGCAGUGUGCCCCUCCGCCCAGACUCAGGAGGCACCAGUCACACCUGGAUCAGCCUUCCACCCACCUCCAUCCAUCUAUCCAUCCAUCCACCUCGUUGCAGCCAGACCAUCACCCACCCACAGACACCGAGACCCCAACAGGCACCUCCAUGGACCAUGGCUGACCUCGGACCAUCUACCCCCAACAGCCAAAUGUGGGGACACAGUGGCAUUUUGAGGAAAUAAAGGAUCUCAUCACUAUUUGGGAGGAGCUUCAAGAAGAAGUAUUUUGCUUGCAGAUGCCCAUUGACUUGGCUGAGUCCAGGGAAAGGAUGACCUGUCCAGUGGUUUUGGAGAUGUUCUGCAACAGAAGAUGAAUAAAAAUGAGGAGUAUAUCUGUGCCUGUGUUUGUAACAACUGCAUGAUGCAUUGGGGAAAAAAUAAGGUGAUCUACACAUGAAAAUGAAUGGUGAAGGUGCAUAGUGAAAUCCUGGGUUCCUUGAUGUCAAUGGCAUCUCUUUGACUUCAGUGAGACUGGGAUUCUUCCAAUGGAUGUAAUUGGAACUUGGUGGGAUAAUUCCCAAAAGGCAAGGAUAAUGAGCAGUAUCAGUACUUUGGUUUCUCUUUACAAGUACUGUCUCAAAAUUAACUAAUAUUUAAAGCCUCACAAAUGAGGUAGGGAAACAUUAUAAUGGCUGAAUGAGCUCUAACAGGGGAACAUCUUCUAC